rnacentral:rRNA from 1 species
GUCGAACGCUGGCGGCGUGCUUAACACAUGCAAGUCGAACGGAAAGACCCUGCUUUUGUGGGGUGCUCGAGUGGCGAACGGGUGAGUAACACGUGAGUAACCUGCCCUUGACUUUGGGAUAACUUCAGGAAACUGGGGCUAAUACCGGAUAGGAGCUCCUGCUGCAUGGUGGGGGUUGGAAAGUUUCGGCGGUUGGGGAUGGACUCGCGGCUUAUCAGCUUGUUGGUGGGGUAGUGGCUUACCAAGGCUUUGACGGGUAGCCGGCCUGAGAGGGUGACCGGCCACAUUGGGACUGAGAUACGGCCCAGACUCCUACGGGAGGCAGCAGUGGGGAAUAUUGCACAAUGGGCGGAAGCCUGAUGCAGCAACGCCGCGUGCGGGAUGACGGCCUUCGGGUUGUAAACCGCUUUCGCCUGUGACGAAGCGUGAGUGACGGUAAUGGGUAAAGAAGCACCGGCUAACUACGUG